GAUGAACGCUGGCGGCGUGCUUAACACAUGCAAGUCGAACGGUGAAGGCGGAGCUUGCUCUGCUGGAUCAGUGGCGAACGGGUGAGUAACACGUGAGCAAUCUGCCCCUGACUCUGGGAUAAGCGCUGGAAACGGCGUCUAAUACUGGAUACGAGCUGCGAAGGCAUCUUCAGCAGCUGGAAAGAACCUCGGUCAGGGAUGAGCUCGCGGCCUAUCAGCUUGUUGGUGAGGUAACGGCUCACCAAGGCGUCGACGGGUAGCCGGCCUGAGAGGGUGACCGGCCACACUGGGACUGAGACACGGCCCAGACUCCUACGGGAGGCAGCAGUGGGGAAUAUUGCACAAUGGGCGAAAGCCUGAUGCAGCAACGCCGCGUGAGGGACGACGGCCUUCGGGUUGUAAACCUCUUUCAGCAGGGAAGAAGCGAAAGUGACGGUACCUGCAGAAAAAGCGCCGGCUAACUACGUG
rnacentral:rRNA from 1 species